CCUGAACGCUGGCGGCGUGGCUAAGACAUGCAAGUCGCACGGUGUAGCAAUACACAGUGGCGAACGGGUGAGUAAUGAAUCGCUAAUGUGCCCCGGACUCUGGGAUAGCCAGCCGAAAGGCUGGGUAAUACCAGAUGAGACCACGAACAGGCAUCUGUUUGUGCUCAAAGGUCCGCCGGUCUGGGAGCAGGCGAUUUCGUAUCAGCUAGUUGGGAGGUAACGGCUCACUAAGGCGACGACGCGUAGCCGGACUGAGAGGUUGGCCGGCCACAUUGGGACUGAGACACUGCCCAGACUCCUACGGGGGGCUGCAGUAACGAAUCUUCCGCAAUGUACGAAAGUAUGACGGAGCGACGCCGCGUGUGGGACGAAGCCC
rnacentral:rRNA from 1 species